AAAGGGAAACGACUUGGGGCUCAUGUAGGCAUAGGAGAAUGAAACUUCUGUACAUUUUAAUCUGAAUAAUUCUUCAGGAUUUAAAAUUAUUUGUCUGUGGCUUGGUUGGACUGCACUCGGAUCUCCGGCUCUACGUUUCUCGAGUCACCGGUGAAGGGAUGAUUUUUUUUUUUUGAACUGGGUUUAUGUGCGUCCCCCUCACCCCUCCUCUCUUUUUCUUUCUGCCUCUGUCGUCUCUCUCGCUGGCUUUUUAAAAAUGAAGAACCGUUCCAUGAUCAUUUUGCACACAGCACAGAAUUGCUUCUUAAGUCAGCCCGGCGCGGUUGCAAUAGACAGCAAAAAGGUAAAGCGUUUGCCUGAAUUCAGCACGCCAGCACCACCACCCCGCCCGAUGGCAGAAUUAAGAGGACUCGAGGUCUGUAGAGGCAUGGGAGAUUGAUACCACUGAGAUGGAACACCUUUUCUCUUCGUCCCCAAACCGUGAAUCACUGCUACUUUGACAACAUGAUAUGAGGACUGGAACCCGGGACUUUGCACACCUCAGGGGAUCUUUCUGCCAUCGAGAAAAACCUCCAGUCCACAGAGGAAUUUUCAGCAAAGAGAACAUGAAUGAAAAUUAUCAGCUAAUAUCUCAAGGACACAUCAUGAGCCCAGGCCCUGUGCUAAGCUGUGCAUUAAGGUUCUAUAACAGAAUGAAGAAGGUGCAGACACUUACCCGUGGACUGAGGCUUGGAGGACAUUGUUCAGGUUCCUGCUGAAGCCAGAGUUCUGGAGGUAGACGGCUGGUCAAGGAAAAGAAGGCCAUAGGAAAACUCACUUUAAAAAAAAAAAAAAAUUCUCGGAAGAAAACUGUUCAAAGUGCCAUCUACCACGUGGGCGGCUCUGCUCUGUCCUCUCCAUAAACACCACUAGGGAAGCGGCGACACUGGGAGUUCCUGAGCCCUAGAGAAGAUCUGCCAAAGAAACUUGCUUCUAAGGAAGCCAGUGAUCUCAUGAAAAUGAUCAGCAGUAUAAAUCAAGUCAACAGAUUCAGAAGCUCUACAGUCUCCAGCGUCCAGAGCAGGACUGGCGCUGUUGGCUCCAUCUUCACUUUGUUGGCUAACAAUGGACUUACCAGGCUUUCCAGGGGAAGACUGCUCUUCUGAUUGGCUAGGAGGCCGCCCUUCCCUUCUCUGACGUCAUUCUGCCAGACUGCAUAAGGUUUUCCGUAGGAGAGUGACAGAACACACAGCCCCCGGUGCUGCCGAUCAGAGGUUGCACCUGGCAGCGGAACCGAGGACGGACAGACAAACGGUGGUCAGGGCUGAUGCAGCUGCUAUCUGUCGACCUCCUGGACUGCGCAAGGAAGGGAGUGGGGAUUCCUGCUGCAGAUGGGUGGAGGACCGAAGGUGGCCAAAAAUAACAGGGCCUUCCAGAUGAGGUGACC